CCAAACGUAGCUCAGCUGGUAGAGCGGAGGACUGUAGAGUAAGCGCAGACAUGCUUAGGUGGCUGGUUCGAGUCCGGCUGGUUGGA
rfam:Anisakis simplex genome assembly, scaffold: ASIM_contig0008658